rnacentral:rRNA from 1 species
CAAGAGCGUAUAUUAAAGUUGUUGCAGUUAAAAAGCUCGUAGUUGGAUUUCUGGUGGGAGCGAUCGGUCUGGCGCUUAGCGCGAGUACUUGCAUCGUCUCCGGCCAUCCUUGGGGAAAGUCUGUCUGGCAUUAAGUUGUCGGGCAGAGGAUCCUCAUCGUUUACUGUGAAAAAAUUAGAGUGUUCAAAGCAGGCUUAUGCCGUUGAAUAUAUUAGCAUGGAAUAAUAAGAUAGGACUUUGGUACUAUUUUGUUGGUUUGCGCACCAAAGUAAUGAUUAAUAGGGACAGUUGGGGGUAUUCGUAUUCCGUUGUCAGAGGUGAAAUUCUUGGAUUUACGGAAGACGAACUACUGCGAAAGCAUUUACCAAGGAUGUUUUCAUUAA